UUUUUUUUUUUUUUCAGAACCUAGAUCUUCAGCUACUUCUCAGAACUCACUGCCCAUUAUAGUCCAGAGCUACCUAAUCUGUUGUCUUCAAGUUUAGGGAACAUCACCUUUAUCCACUCAAAGGAUCCCUUCUGCCUAAAAUGGGAACUCCUAACUUCUCAGUCUGGCAUUCAGAAGCCUUCAUCUUCUCCAACCUGCCCACUCCCUGCUCCCCUAAACUAUUCCCAUAUACCAGGGCAACAAAGCCUCCCCAAGCUAUUCUCCCAGUCACCUCCAUAUUGUUCUACCCACCACACUCCAGUCAAUUUAUUCAGUGUAUUCGGCCAGUUCACAGGCUGAAGAGCCACAGUCAAGCUCAAACCUGAGAGCACUUCCAUCUCUGAUGGAUCUUCAAUGUUCCCUAACACAGAACUGUAGAGAAAUUGACACCUAUCACUGCUAAGCUUUGCUCAUGCACCUGGCACAGGUUUUGUAGAUGGUACAUCAUUGCCACUAGUCACUGAUGUCUAUUUCUCUGAUGAAGCCUCUGCUGACUAUUAUCCUUUAUCAAGGCAGACUUUGUUUCACAGAGAUCUGCCUGUUUUU
rnacentral:lncRNA from 1 species